GGUAGCAUAAUUAUUAGUUUUUUAAUUGAAGGCUUGUAUGAAGGGUUGGACAAAGGAUAAGCUGUCUUUAUUCUUAUUUUUGAAUUUGUCUUUUAAGUGAAAGACUUAAAUUAUUUUUAAGGGACGAUAAGACCCUAUAAAUCUUUAUAUUAUUUUAUUUUGAUUUUUAAUGUUUGGAAUAAAAGAAACAGUAUUUAUAUUGGGGUGGUAUGAAUAAAAAAUAAACUGUUCAAAAAAAAACAAAUUUAUUUGGUGAUAAUAGAUCCUUUAUAGAGAUUAAGAGUUAAGUUACUUUAGGGAUAACAGCUUUAUUUUUCUUGAGAGUUCUAAUCGAAAGAAGAGUUUGCGACCUCGAUGUUGAAUUAAAAUUUCUUUGUGGUGUAGCCGUUACAGGAGAGAGUCUGUUCGACUUUUAAAAUUUACA
rnacentral:rRNA from 1 species